GGGGUUAUACAGUCUCAAGCUAAAAGGAGUCAAGUCUACAACAUAAAGAUCAAAAGCUAAUAAAACUCUGGCCUAAAUACAAGAGAACCCUAUUCUAUUUGGGCAACCUAAAAGAAACCAAAGCAGACCCAGAUCUUUUUGUUGCAAUGUGGCAGAGGAGGAAAUGCAAACCAAGAAAAGCUCAGGGGCAAAGCUCUUCAACCCAAAGGACAAGAAACAAUACUGAGGCCUAAAGGAGUCCUAGGAGAGCCAUAACUCAGUCAUAUUCCCCACAAAAUAAUAGAUUGAGACAAGAAAGAUUUUGAGUAGUAGACCAUACAACUCAGAAAAUGUAUUGCAGGCUAAGCAAGCAGCUCACAGAGGGUGAAGAGGCAAAGCUCUAAACGGCAACAUGCCUUGGAGGUCGACCACGAGGGCAAAGCCGGUUAAAGGCCCCUAAGAUGCCAUCCUCCCUUAAAACUAUUACUCCUCCUAGAGCUAGAUAGAGCACAAAUGGAGACCAUCCAUCCGGACAAGGAGGCUGAUGCACAUGCACGAGUAGGGUGCACCA
rnacentral:misc_RNA from 1 species